CACACCUGCCUCUCUGGGUAUCUAAUUAGAUGCAGGUCUUGCCGGGUCUCCCAGAACUUGGCCCAGCCAAGGGAGGAGGGAUCCUUCUGAGUCUUCUUUCCCUUUGAAAAGGAUGGAAGUUCCUGUAACUGCUUAUUGCAGGGGACCUGUGGAAUUUUCCUCCAAACCUGAGUGAUGACUCUUACUCAUCGUGUCGUUGUGGCCGAGAACGCCGCCUCUGCCUCCUCUGGGCACUUCGGCAGGGUCUUUGGGCUGCUAGGACCCCAGACUCGAAGAGAGUUGGGGCUCCCCAGAAGGAGACCCUGA
rnacentral:lncRNA from 1 species